UACGUAGGGGGCAAGCGUUAUCCGGAUUUACUGGGUGUAAAGGGCGUGUAGGCGGGGAAGCAAGUCAGAUGUGAAAACCACGGGCUCAACCUGUGGCCUGCAUUUGAAACUGUUUUUCUUGAGUGCUGGAGAGGCAAUCGGAAUUCCGUGUGUAGCGGUGAAAUGCGUAGAUAUACGGAGGAACACCAGUGGCGAAGGCGGAUUGCUGGACAGUAACUGACGCUGAGGCGCGAAAGCGUGGGGAGCAAACAGG
rnacentral:rRNA from 1 species